AUUGAACGCUGGCGGCAGGCCUAACACAUGCAAGUCGAGCGGAGCGGCGGAUGGGUUAGUAAUGCCUAUGAAUCUGCCUGGUACUGGGGGCUCACGUCCGGAACCGGGCGCUAAUCCCGCAUACUAUCAGAUGAUCCUAGGUCGGAUUAUCUAGUUGGUGGGUUAAAGGCCUACCAAGGCCACGAUCCGUAACUGGUCUGAGAGGAGGAUCAGUCACACUGGAACUGAGACACGGUCCAGACUCCUACGGGAGGCAGCAGUGGGGAAUAUUGGACAAUGGGCGAAAGCCUGAUCCAGCCAUGCCGCGUGGGUGAAGAAGGUCUUCGGAUUGUAAAGCACUGUAAGUUGGGAGGCGUUACCAACAGAAUAAGCACCGGCUAACUUCGUGCCAGCAGCCGCGGUAAUAC
rnacentral:rRNA from 1 species